CAGAGAGAAAGGUCUUCCUUCCGUUGGUUCACCCCCCAAAUGGCUGGCAUGCUGAGCUGAUCCGAAGCCAGGAGCCAGGUGCUUCCUCCUGGUCUCCCAUGCAGGUGCAGGGCCCGAGGACUUGGGCCAUCCUCCACUGCCUUCCUGGGCCACAGAAGAGUGCUGGACUGUAAGAGGAGCAACCAGGACAGAAUCCGGCACCCCAACCGGGACUAGAACCCAGGAUGCCGGUGCCACAGGCAGAGGAUUAGCCAAGUGAGCUGCAGCGCCGGCCAGUGCAAGGGACUUUAUAGAUGGUUAAGAGGCUGUGUGGAGAAUCAGUUGGUCCAACUAAUGGAAAGAAAGUGGUACAAAGAAAGGCACUAUCACAGGACAGUCAUAAGCACUAGUUCUGGAUUCAAGUCCAGCUCCACCACUCUGCAGAGGCCACUUUUACUGUCUGUCUCCUCCGCCUUUAAAGUGAGGGUGGCAAUACCUCCUUAUGAGAGGCUGUGAGCGGUUGAUGAGGUGCUUUGUGUAGCGCGCCCAUUGGAGUGUCUGGUAACAGGAGGCUCCCAGUGUAGGAAGCCUGACAUGAUAAGUAUGAAAUCAACAGUUACUCUAGGAUGGUGCUAGUAUGGUAGCCGCUAGCCACACGUAGCUAUUACAUUAAUCUAAAAUUCAGUUCCCUUGUUGCACUAGCCAUAGGCCAAAUGCUCCAUAGCCACAUGUGGCCAGCACAGACAUGGACAUUUCCAACAUCACAGAUCUACUGGACAGCACAGAGUUCUGAAUAAGGGAUACUCCUGGGCCUGGAGCCAAGUUACAGCAACUGGUACAGAAGCCCCUCCCCUCCUCUGGGGCCGUCAGAGAUGUGUGCCUAUCCCCUAUCUGUGCUUCACCAGGGCCUGCCACAGGCUACCUGGGCUCCCAGUUCUUCCCUUUGCCUCCAUUUAAUGUGCACCACUGCUAGGAUGGACCUUGAUGGAUAUCACCACAAACCCAGGCCUCUUGGCAGAGCCUUCAAACCCCUCCAGCAGCCAGUCUUCCUGCCAUCUCCUGCUCUCCCUCAUCUCCCUGCUCACAAUGCUGAUCCAUCUCCUGCAAAAAGACUCUUCCCUGGAAGACUUUACCACCACCCCCCCCCCCCCACGGCCUCUACAGCACCUACCUACUCUGCUCCUUUCCAACAUCUCACUGACCACACUGGUGCAUUCCUCUUUUUUCUUUCAUAGCUACACUGCUUGGCUUUCCAGAUCUGUGCAAAAGCUCUUUCUGAUCAGCCUCAUUCCUGGUGAACUCCUGUUCCUGGGGGAUUCAGUUUGCCUGAGACAGAGAUCUUCCACCUGCUGGUUCACUCUCCAGAUGCCUGCAGUAGCCGAAGCUGGGCCAGACCCAAGCCAGGAGCUCGGAACUCCAUCCGGGUCUCAUGUGAUGGCAGGGACCCAUGUACUUGGGCCAUGAUCUGCCACCUCCCAGGGCGCACAUUAUGGCUAACUCUUUAAAGCCAUGUCAUGUAUCAUGUUCAGCUCUCCUCAUAGGUGAGCACUGGCGAAGAAAGAACCCUAACUAUUUGUUUGAAAUCUUCUUUUAGAAAUAAAAAUAUUUUAUAUACAUCUUCAGAAUCACACACAAGUUACCUUUCAGUUCAGUUUAACUGCAUUGAAAUCAUCUGGGUUUUAUAUUUUCAGUUACAUUUGAACUGAGAUUACAAGAUUGCAAGAAAAACACAGAAGAAUUAUACAUUAUUUCAGUACCUUUUAGCACACCAAAUUGAAAUACACACAUGGAAACUUCAGGUUUGUGGGAAAUGGUCUUCAAAUACAAUACAGACCAUUCUCAAAGCUACCAUAUCAUUUGCAUGUGGUAUUUGCAGCUCUGAUCUGUCUCAUAGAGAACAGCUCUCCUAUGCAUGUGGCAAAACUAAUGGGCCAUGAAGCGGAAGCCUGUAGAUUAAGCCAAGGACCAUCCAGUACUUCAAAAGCUGUAUUGCCUUUACAAGGCCUGGCAUUUCUGGACCAGAACAGGACGGAAGGGAAUCACUCCAAAGUUACUUGGUAGCUUGGAAUUUUUCAUAAAGCCCCAUUUUAUAUCUUGGAAAAAAUCCAAGGGCAAUUAGAUGACAAUGGUUUGGACCCUACAUUUCCUUCUUAUUAAUAGAACCCAUGACGUUCAGUGAGAAAUCAAGAAACAUUAAGCACCUACUGGUUUGAGAUUGAAAUUUAUUAAAGAUUUAUGAUGCAUUGCUUCCCACCUUGAAACCAAGGUGUAAAACUGGCAUCUUUUGAAGCAGAACAGGCCGGCGCCGUGGCUCAACAGGCUAAUCCUCCUGCUUGCGGUGCCGGCACACCGGGUUCUAGUCCCGGUUGGGGUGCUGGAUUCUGUUCCGGUUGCCCCUCUUCCAGGCCAGCUCUCUGCUGUGGCCCAGGAGUGCAGUGGAGGAUGGCCAAGUGCUUGGGCCCUGCACCCCAUGGGAGACCAGGAGAAGCACCUGGCUCCUGCCUUUGGAUCAGCGCAGUGUGCUGGCCACAGAGCGCCAACCACGGCGGCCAUUGGAGGGUGAACCAACAGUAAAGGAAGACCUUUCUCUCUGUCUCUCUCUCUCACUGUCCACUCUGCCUGUCAAAAAAAGAAGAAGAAGAAGAAGCAGAACAGGCCUAAAGCAGAGCUAUGAAAUAGGGCCCUAAGUUUCAUCCAGCAGCUUCUUCAGAGCCCCUGCCACCUGCCUACCUGCCCACCCAGAACCUGGCCUUGCAGGGAUCCCUUCAAUGCUUAUGGGCACAGCCUCAGCUCAUUCUCUCCGGACACAGGCCAAGCCCCUGCUGCCAGUGGGCAUGGACUGAGUGAGACCAGUGGUUCUCAACCUUGACGGCAUACUGGGGACCCCUUUAAAAAUGUGAGUGUUCAGGUACCCCCUGGAGCAGCUGAAUUAGGAUAACCAGAGUAAAGCCAGGGUGCUACCUGUCUCCCUUUCCCAACUCAGGUAAUGUGGAUAAACUAUUGGUCCAUGCUGGAGCUGGAAAGAGACCAUGGGGCAGCAUGACAAAGUGUAAGAGAAGAGGUUCUGGAGUAUUAUUCUGUCAGCUGUCCAUGUGGUCUGGGCCAACCUCCAAACUUACCUGUCCCCUCCUCUGUAAAUGGGAAUAACCAUCAUAGCACCUCCCUGAGGGCUGCUGUGAGCAUCAAAUGAGUUAACACUCAUCAAGUAGUUAGCACCACAGUGGAGAUAUACAGUAAGUGCUCCAUAAAUGUUUGCUAUCAUUAUUCCUUCUCUUGUAUCCUUUCUGAACUCCAUCCUCCUUAUCAAAGCCCCAUUUCAGGCCUGCUGUGGAGACACCACAGGGCAUAUGAUUGUGCAGACGAGUUCGGGGUAGACAUAUCCCUGAACGUGCUGGCUAAAUGUUGCCCUCCACAGUCCUUUGUGAAGGCUAUGGAGACCCCACCACAGGUACUGGACUGGAACAGACGUUGAAAUCGGAGAGAGUGGGCUGCAGAGUUAACUACAGAUGAGCAGAGCCCUCCCUGCCUCACCCUCUCCUGGUACAAAGGUGCGGGUCUGUAACUGCAGCAGCUUUCCCCAGCACCAUCUGACAUUCCAUCUGAAUUUGCUCCAGUGCCUGGUGGAACACUCCAGAAAAGGGAGAAACGGGGUGGCAGAUACGACCUGGAGGGCAGACCAGAAAGGAUGGAUCAUCAUAACACAGGUGGCCUCAAGAUCCCUUCUAAGGAUGGGGAAGUAGACCCCAAAAAAGGAGCAGCAGGACCCCCAAGGAAACACUUCCUCUACUUUAUAGUUUUGGAAAUGAGCAGAGCUGUGCACUGUGGGCUAUGGAUAGACACCCCCAGACAGGAUCUGCCCUGCUUUUACAUUACCACAGCAAACGCCACUCACAGCAGUGGAUAAAGUUAUGGGCAAAUUUGAUGGGCCCAAGCAGAAGGUCAGAUGCAGGCUGCCUGGUGUUGUAAUGCGCUCACAUGGCUGUGACACCCUUCUGUCCCUGCCAGGCUAGCCCAGGAUGUAUGGUGUCUGCCUCACUCCUCCCUCUCCCUAAAUGGCUCCAAAUCUCACCCAUCACUGAGAGCCCCGUUCAGGCGGCACUGGUGGGAAGCUACCUGGGACUGCUCCAGCCUUAACUCCUGAGGCUUUCAUUGUCAGGUUCUUUGGCCACCUAUGGAUCACUGCCUUGCGAUCAGUCUCUUAUACAUUGCCUUGAUAUCACUGUUUAAGUCUUAGUUUACAUGUAUUACCUACUGAAGCCUAAAGGUCUCUGAGGCCAUGACUUUGGAAUCUCUAAAACCUAUGUGGCAGCUGGAAUAGAGUUGAGUGUAUUCAUUCAGGCAUUCAGCAAGUAGUUGCUGAGUGGCUGCAACAUGAAAAGCGCUGUGCUGGGUGCUUGGGGGUUCAUCAGCCAAGCAAGGCAGACUAAUACCACAUUCAAGGCGGUGAGUACGUAUGUGGGGACAGACGGCUGAGUAGACGCGUGAGUAGAUGGGUUGGUGGGGGAGUGAAUGGUGGGGGCAUCCUUUGCUCUGUGUUAGCUCAUAGAAGCAGCUCAUCUCUUUACUGUCCUGUGACCCUACCAGUGUUUUGGGUGGAGGGAAGUCCAGAAAUCCCAGGGAUUUUAAUCUCAAGAGAGACGGGAAACUCAAAGAAGGGUGGUACCCACCUAAAAAAGGCAUCCAUUUGAUGAGUGCUGGGACCAGAUUGGGACCCAGGAUACUCAGCUGUCACCUGGGGCCACUAGAGGCAUCUCUCCAGAGCAUCCCUGUCAGAGGUACCUGAGCCUCAGCGCGAACACCUGAUGACGGGACACCACAGGCCAUCUGAGACAGAGACCGGCAUUCCCUUGCUGCUCCUGGUCGGUUCCCUCAUUCUUUCCUCCUCGUCUAAGUAAUGUCCAAGACAGAACCAGCCAGGCUUUGGCCAUGACGUCCUAACCUGCAGCACGUUGCAUGUACACCCGCAUCUGCACACAUCUGCUCUAACUCUUCGAUCAAAACGGUAGCUAGGGAAACUGACAGGGCCUGGCUCCACGGUACUGCUGUCACAGGCUGUCAUCCCAGUGAGGCCCUGUGACCUCAGCUGGAGCCUGGGUGCAUUUUCAGCCUAGACAAAACAUAGUCAGAGGUGAAGGAGACCUAGACAGAGUCCAGGAAACCACACAGAUGACCACCUCUUGACCCCAAAGAAAAAAGUUAUUUCUUUCUUAAAAAACUACACUUCCCUUUCCCACAAUCUUAGCCUCUCCAACUGAAGAGUCAGGAAAAGCAGUCAUGAGUGGUGAUGCGGAGGGAACAGGGCUGACCCUAAGACCUUACCACCUUUCAGGGGAAGCUGCUGAGUUCUUCUCUGAAGUCCUACCUUGCCCCUCAUCCAGCUCCUUGCUUAUUUCAGUUUUGGGUAUGGACAGAACUAACAGCUUUGCGUCAGGCCUGUCGAGGACGGGAAGGGGCUAAUGAGUUGGGGGAAGAACAGCAUUGGAGAGGGAGGGGGUAGGAGGGAGGCGGGCAGAGGUAGAUUCUGGCUUCACGAUUAUGAGUUUUCAAAGAUAACAACACAACCAUGGUGUCAGAUGUGUACACUUUCACUAAGUUUGCAGAGUUUUUUUUUUUUUAAUGUAAGUUAUUUCAUUUAGUCCUCAAAUGGUUUAGUCUCUAAUUAAACAGAUAAGGAAACUGAAGCAAAGUGAGGCAUCCCAGGAAAGAGCAAAUGGCUAGUGUGGAGCCAGGCCCCCAGGUUUUCCGACUCCCCGUCCAGUGCUCUCAGCGCCACUGCCUUCUAGAAGCACUUGAGGGAAGAAGCCGGGACUCAGUCACUGUGGUGCCUCCCUGAUCCCCAGUCAGCAUUUGGUUCAGUGUGGAGCGAGCACUCAGUACCUCACCGUGGAACGGCCUGGCACUGAAACCUGGAGGCAUGCGGAUGCUCUGAGGCUUUGGGUCUGGGGCAGCAGCAGCCGGGAGCAGGGCUGAGGAGUGAGCAGGGAGCGUGCAGGCACAGUCACAAUAAGAAGGGGUGGGCGGCGCAGCAGUGGGCAGGUGUCGCCUGCGCCCUGGGUUCUCUACACUGAAGCCAAGCAGCUGGUUAGAAACAAAAACAAACACCAGGGAUACAGGUUCCUGCUGUUAACAGCUUCAAACCGCCGGAGGAAAACUCCAAAUAAAUAUAAUUAGAAACUUGUAAAAACGUCCUCUCUGUAAACCUGCUCCCCAGGGGCUCCCCUUUAAGCACCCCCCCUUCUCUAAGCCCUCCCCACCAAUGCCCACGGAUCCUAGUAAUCCACCCUCACCCAAGGACCCUUAGAUCUGUCUCCUUAUCUUGGAUCUUCUGUCCAGGUCAUUCCUCAGCUCACUGUCAGUGAUCAGACCUGGAGAGCUCCUGGCAUGGGCUGUGAAACCCCAACCCCACAGCUCUUUAGGACUAUGCACACCGCCAAGAGAAGACCAGAGCGGCUUCCACGAAGAGAACAAAGAUCUCCGGCCUGCCAGCUGGCAUCAACACCGAUGUGUGGUUGCAGCCCCCUGCACGUCGCAAGGCAAGUCUCCAGUCUGCCAGAACCUGCGCUCUGUCCCGCCCGCAUCCCAAGCCCCGUCAGUCAGUGCCCUCAGCCCCUGCUCUGCUGAGAAGUCAUCUGGCAUGGACUUCCAGUGCUCUUCCUCCUUCCCCCUCCGCUGCUGAGAGAAGGGGCCCCUGUUCUGGCCAGGGUCAGUAUGGUACCUGUACACGGAUUCCAUCCCCGCCUGCCCCCACAGGGAGCUCCCUCUCCCUAGCCAGAAGCUCUCACUUGGGCUCCUGGGCCUCCCUGCCCCUGGAAAUACAGCCUAAGCAGCGGCAUCAACCAGCUCUUCCAGACCCUGCCCCUUCUUGUCCUUCCAGGCUCCCAGACUUCUCGCAGGAGCCCCACCUGCUAUCUGUCUUCACGUUGGGGCUUCCCUCCACCCCUUACCAAGCCCCCUCUGACGCCCAGUCUCAUGGUCCCCGGCGACCUGCACAUCCCCACCUCCAGGGCUGCCUGCCAGGCUGUACCCAGCCUGACCUUUCCUGCCCCUUCUUGGAGCCCUUUCUUCUCCUGCUCUCACUCCACUGGCCCUGUAGCUACUGAAGCAUCUGGGUUACCACCUGAGCUGCCCAUACUUCUCUACUGUGCGGCCUCUCACCAGGGCACCACAAGGGAGGUGGAGAGAUUACCUGGCUUUAUGGCCAGACCAUCCUGAGGUUAAAUUCCAGCCCCAUCGGUGGGUGAGCUGGGGCAAGUUUUCCGCCUGUCCGAGCUUUGCUUUCCUCAUCUAGAAAAUAGAGAGGAAAUUCUGACCGUGCAGGCAUUUGGAGUGUCGUGCACGAGGACUUGAGGUAGUGUGUGGUGUGAGCGCCAGUAUGCCGAUGACUCCCAAAUCUACAUCCCUGGCCCCAUCUCUCUUCCAGCUCUAACUCUGUGUGUCUGGUGUGCAGAUCUGUAGCUCUCCCUCCUGUCUUUAUCCAGUUCCGCUUAUGUUCAGAUGCUUUCAAUGGUAUUUCUCAAGACCUUAAGUUAAACCUUCUAAUAGAACCCAGUGUGUCCUUCUCAACACUUGCCUUCCACACACACACCUGUCCUCUUCCUAUAAGCUCCGUCUUUUGAAAAAAAAAAUGGGUUAUUUAUUUUCAUCUACUUGAAAGGCAGAGCAACAGAGACAGAGAGAUCUUCCAUCUACUGGUUCAGUCCCCAAAUGCCUGCAACAGCCAGGGCUGGGCCGUGCUGUAGCCAGGAGCCAGGAGCUCCAUCCUGGUCUCCCACAUGGGUGGCAGGAGCCCAAGCACUUGAACAUAGUCUCCACCUUGAGUGGCCCCGUAAACCACUCAGUGGUCCCAGCUGAAGUCCCGAGCCCUGUAGGCCACCAGAGCCUGAGGGUGGAACUUCUGAAACCUCCCUCAAAUCCACCCCUCCCCUGCAUCCCCACUGCUGCAGCCACAGCACCAGGUGCUGGCUGUGCCUCCUGUGGACUAGGGGCUAACUCCCCAGCCCGGUGUACGUGGCCUCUGUGCCAGUGCCCAGCCUCCCUCCCCACCGAUGUUUCGUGUUUCUCUUCCCAUCUCACCAAUACUGCACUUGAGCCCCGUCAUGCCUGACACACUCCGUGUACACUUUACAACCCAACUUGAAUGCUGCUGUGUCUGAGGAGCCUUUUUUACUCCCUGGUGGAUGGAAAGCUCCAUGGUCCUUGAAACCUACCCCCAAAUGGUGCCCCUGGGUAUUGUGUAUUGCAAUAUUGUAAUGGUCUAGGUUGCCUUCCACUUGUCAUCCUUUAUCUAUCAGAGAGAGAGAUCUUCCACACUAUGGUUCACUCCCCAAAUGCCUGCAACAGCCGGGCCUGGGUCAGGUCCAGAACCAGGAGCUAGGAACUCAAUGCAGGCCUCCCACAUAGACGGCAGGGACCCAUUUGCUGCCUCCCAGGGUGUGCAUUUGCAGGAAGCUGGAAUUGGGAGCCAGAGCUGGGACUCACGUCCAGGCACUGUGGGACGCAGGCAGGUAAACUGGGGUCUCAGCCACCAGGCCGAGCGGCUGCCUUUGUCAAACCUCGGAAGGCACAGUCCACCUGGAUCCCCAGCCCCCAGCACAAGCCUCGGAUACAGCUGAGCUCAGUGCAUGCUUGUUGGAUGAGAUGCCUGCAAGCCUCAAGGAGCGGUGAGCUCGUGGGAACCCCGAGGAGGGUGGGGCAUUUCCAGGCCCUGCGACCUCGCUUCCGCCCAGGCCGAUGGUGCUGCUGUUGCCUAAAGGAUGAGAGGCAGCAGAGGGUGUUGAACGGAAGGGCCACGUGGAAGCCAGGGGCCGUGUGGAAGUCUCGAGCUGAAGAGAGAGAGACCAUGGAGAAGCAGAGGACUCAGGAGGGGAUUCUGGCUAAAGGCUCUCGGCUUCUGGAGGACAGAGACGCAGAGCUGGGACCUUCCAAGCCGGACUUCAGGAGCUCCCUUACAGGUCUGGAGAUAUGGAUAAUGGCAGCCUGGACAAAGUAGCCAGAGGCAGAGGCUGGGCAAGAAGAAGCCUGGGGGCUGAAGCAGGUGGAGAGGGCGCCACAGGCACCUCCUACCUGAAUUCCGGGGGAGGCAGCUCCCACAGGCCCAAUUCCAAGUGUGUAGGGGGGGAAUUUUUUAAAAAGAUUUUAUUUAUUUAUUUGAGAGGUAGACGCACAGACAGUGAGAGGGAGAGACAGAAAAGUCGUCCAUCCGCUGAUUCACUCCCCAAAUGGCCUCAAAGGCCGGCAAAGGGGCCCUGACCCUGACUCAGUGGCCUGAUGUCACCCUUCCAUUAGCCCAAGGGCUACUGAGGAGGGAGAGGAACUUGUUCCAGUGUUCAUCUGUCCUCACCCUCUGCCUCCUGGUCCAGUGUUGCUGGGAUUGAUUGAGAAAUUCUGUGGCUUCUCUGGGUAGACCGACUGUAGUGACUGUAAUGCCACCCUUUACCAGUAGGUGCCGCCAUCUAACAUCCCAUCCUCCAGCCCCUGAGAAGUCCUGAAAUCAGACCUCUUCCAGAGCCUGCCCCAGGAACCCAGGGCCUCAAACAAAUUCGCAAGACGGAUGAAAUGCCAUCUGGAAUACUAUGCAGUAAUGAAAACAAACGACGACCACCUACAGCCAUCUGGGUGAAUCUCUCAAACACGAUGUUGAGUGGAAGGAGCCAGACAUAGAGGGAGCACUUCCGCCCAGAUUUCACCUCCUUGGAAAACGGAACCAAUCUGAAAUGGGUUUCAAACGUCUCAGGCAAAACCUUUCGGAAGGUGGAAGGCAGCAGGGCCCGGCUGGAACCCCACCUGUGGGGCCCCAUCUCUCAGAGGCGUGUGAGUGCUGGUCGCCCGGUGGCUCCAAACGGGCCACCCAGGAGUGAGAAUCCCAGAACGCCCAGCCACAAUCCUGCCUGUCUCCUGGGCUAAUGCUUGAUAGUCCAUGAAACCCUGUUGACUUAAAGCUUUGAUCCCUGCUGGAAGGAGAUAGCCCUGGGAAAAGAUAGCCCCUUAAUCCUCUCAGUCACAGCCCUGGGUGUGUGUGUGACUGUAGCAGGAAUUGCUGUUGCCCUAUGCAUCAUUUCUCUCCUUUGUUUUAUAAUUGGACCCCCAAAUUCUGGCAGCCCAGUUGGAGCUCAACUUGGCACUGUUCUCUCUUGCUUGUGGGAGCCUGUCCCGUGUUUAGCCUCUGUCUACCACCAACCACCCUUCUAGUUUUGACCAACAAUGUCUCCAGGGGGCUGGUAUCGUGGCACAGCAGGUUAAGGAGCCGUGUAUGUGGCCUCCCAUGUCAGUGCGUCAGUUCAAGUCUCAGCUGCUCUGCUUCAGAUCCAGCUUCCUGCUACUGCACCUGGAAGGCAGCAGAAGAUGGCCUAAGUGCGUGGGUCCCUGACACAUACUUGCGAGACUGGGUGGAGUUUCAGGAUCCUGGCCCAGCGCUGGCUGUUGUGGCCAUUUGGAGAGUGAACCAGUGGGUGGAAGACCUUUCUGCCUCUCUCUUUCUGUCACUCUGCCUUUCAAAUAAAUAAAUAAAUCUUUAAAAAAAAAAAAAAAACAGCAGGGAGGACAUAAAUGAAUAAAUAAGGGAAUGAAUGGCCCAACCUCUCCCCCACUCCCCAUGUGUUUAAGGCACCAUGUUAGGGGCUUUUGUGGGUUCCCAAGUGACCGUCCAGGAGAUGGACUGUUGUCCUUGUAUUUCCACAAGAGGGGGCAAAGGGCUCAGAGAGGUUGAGUGACUUGUUCCCAUCACGUAGCCAGCAAGGGACAGAACCAGGAAUGGGUUACAGGCAACGCAAGCUGCCCCGCACCACGCUACUCCUGACUGGGAGACCGUGCAGACAGGAGCCCCCAGUAAGCACGCUCUGCCUCCUGGCACCCCUCAGCCAGGCGGGAGGGGGGCAGCUGUGUGUCUUGUUCCAGGGUCUCUGCUGGCAUUCAAGGGCGAGGAAGCCCCUCUCCAGCCUCCGCUCCUGAGAGGCCGCGGCACAGAACCAGGAAAGGGGCCAUAUAGGCCGGGUGCCUUCCCUUCCCAAAGACAGGCUGAUGCCCCAGGACAAGCAGCCUGACCCCUCUCCCCACAACUGGUGUGGCGGGGGCACAGAGUGCUUGUAAGCCCCACAGCCAGUGGAUUCAGAAGUCCAGGCAAGAAGCCUUUUGCAGAGUAGCUGUCCUUUUUCCCUGGGUGAGAGAGACAGGGCCUUGUGGGCUCAAUCAGCCUUGAGGGUGGGUAAGAACAAGGGACCCAGCCCUGCUUCUGCCCCUCGGCAGCUGUGUGACCUCAGGUGAGUCACUUGCCCUCUCUGCGCCCCAGUGUCUUCAUCUGUAAGGGGGAGGUUAGACAGAGCUAUCCCUUUGAGUGCCCAUAGCCUCAUGUCCUGUGAUACAAGGCCAGGGCAGGGGCUGUAGUACCAGACAGGACAGCUCAGAACGGCCCAGCCUCCCGUGUUAGCGGCUGAGCCGAAGGGACACGCCUGGCCAUGGAGGCGGCUUUAGCACAGCGUGUUACAGCUCCGCUGGAAUCCACUCCACUCCACUGCACUUCAAAAGUGCAGAAGGGCUCCAGUGUGACAGUCGCCAGCGGAACAUCAGUGUGGCCCGGCUGCCUCGGAGGGGUCACUUUGCUCAUAUGCACCCGCAGUGGGGGAAGGAAAGAGAAGAGAGGCCAGCCAGAGCCUCACGUGGUGGGGUCUGUGUGGUGCUCACGUGGUUGUCAUCUUCCCCUGGUGUCCAAGAAUGAGACACAGACAGCUGUGACAAGCCAGGAAGACGGGCAGCCUUCGGAGGACACACUGUAACCAGUGCAGAGAACGGAACACCAAACGGAGAGAGGGCAGAUCAGGGUGACAGCUCCAGCAGCCAGGUGUGGGCCAGGGGAACGUGGGUCUCAGCUGAUGAUGGAAUUCCGUCCUACGAUUAUGGCUUCCGGAGCAACAAGGCUUUGGUGCUGCGUUUAGAGAAAUCUAGCAGGAAGCCGAAGAAGACUGAGAAUGCUGAUUGCUCCCCAUUAUAAGUGCUUACUGGGCCAGACACUGGAUCUAGACAAUUCCACGGAUGAUCUCACCUGAUCCUCAGAAUACCCAAUGAAGCCAGCAGUAUUCAUGAGCUCUCCAUGUUUCCAAUAGCAGACUGAAGUUCAGAGAGGUUAAAAGAGUUGCCCAAGGCCACACAACCGAUAAAAGGCAGAGGUGGGCUUCGACCUUUCCUCUGUCUUCUACCUAGCCCCAAACAAUCGCACGUGAGGAACAGUGGCAGGAGGAGCAGUUGUGAGUCUUUGAUGACUGCAAGGGUAUUGGGGAGAAAGCCGAUCUGACUUCCCCUGCGUUGGAUCACUGGGAAGAACUGAGACGGAAGGGAAAGGAAACCAUCUUGGCUCUGCGAGAGGAGGACGUUCCGGGCAGCCAGCUGUGGGACGGCAGAGGGCCACCUGGGGUGCUGAAGUCUCCGACCCUGGGGGUGUUUGUGCAUUACUAUGUAGCGGGGUGGCGGGGAGGCAGGAGAGGAUGCAAGCAGGAGGUUGAAUGGAGGCCCCCGCCGCUCACCCUGGGACUGUAGCAGAAGCACCUUGGGCUCUGGCAUCCGACAGGUGUCACUACCUAAAGGGUUUCUCCGGGUGUUAUGGAGGGAAUCGCCCUACCAAGGGACCUCAAGCCAGACUGAGGACUAGCACAGCUCGGAAAGAACUGGCCUCAGAGCCGUGGGACCUGGUCUUUUGCCUUCAACCUGCAGUUAUGGGGGCAGGCAUUUGGCGCUGGUUAGGAUGCCUGCCCCCGAGUGCCGGGUUCCAUUCCCAGCUCUGGCUCCUGACUCCAGCAUCCUGCUGCUGCACAUCCUGAGGGGCAGCGGAGACCUCAAGUCGUUGGGGAUCCUGCCACCUGUGUGGGAGGCCUGGCAUGAGCUCCCGGCUUCUGGACUUGGCCUGGCCAUAGCAGGCAUUUGGAGAGUGAACCAGCUAAUGGGAAUGCUCUUUCUACCUCUGUCUCUUUAUCUGUCUCAUCCUUUCAAAUGAGUGUUAUAUUUAUGCAAACGCACACAAUUGCAUUAUCUUUUGGCUUCUCUGGACCUGAGUUUCUUCACUGAUAAAAAUGAGCUUGCACUGGGUCAGUUCUGUGGUCCCAACACAUAAAUAGAUGUUGCAGAGGAACGUGGGGCACCAGACAGACCCCAGUGGGGUCCCAGAGAUAACUGCCAGACAGAGAAGCAAUGACAACACAGCUGAGGACAAUCUCAGGGCAGCCAGCAGAGGAAAGCGGGUCCUCUUGGUGGGGUGGGCUGAAAUUAGAGGCUGGGGCGCAGCAGCUGGGCCAGGGGCCCAAACGGGGAAGCCAGUUCUUCCAUUAUUCUCACGGAGGAGUUGCUAGUGCCGUGCUCAGCAGACAAAACAAACACAAGGUGGUUGUCGGUGAACGUGUGUGUUCUGAGUGCUCACGUGGCCGGUGUGCUCCUUCCACUCAGCAGGCCCUGAGAAGCCCUAAGUAAAAGUCAGGGUGCAGGGUGGGCAGCAGACUCGCAGCUCCCAAGGGGUCACCUGGGCUUUGCAGUUCGCCCCCUCCCCUGAGUCCUUUUUGUUAUCGUCAAUGAGGAAGAACUCUCCCUGGGUCGUUCUCCACCCCACUCCCCCGCCCCCAUUUUAUUUGAAAGGCACAGAGAUGUGGAGAGGUUCAGAGACAGAAAUGGAAUUUGCAGUUGCUGGUUCCCUCCCACCCCCUGCCCAUGUCUCCAACAGCCAGGGCUGGGCCAGGCUGAAGCUAGGAUCCUGGAACCCCAUCAGCGUCUCCUACAUGGGUAGCAGGGAUCCAAGGACCUGAGCCAUCACCUGCUGGAGUGUGCAACAGCAGAAGUUGGCAUGAGGAGUGGAGCUGGGACCUGAACCCAAGCACUCCAAUAUGGGAUAUGGGCGUCCCAGGCAGCAACCUAACGGCCACGCCACACGCCCGCCCCUAGGUCUGCUUUUUGAGCGAGGUGAGGGUGGGGUGGGGGAACCUGGACUUGAUCCCCACUCUGCCACUCGCCAGCUGAAUUGGGGCAGUUUACUUCACUGGGUCUGUCCUGUCCGGAGCAUUUACCACCCAGUGGGGGGCGCUUAGCAGGAUGGCGGGGAAGGCUGCAGCUAGUUAUGCUGAGACAAGAGCAUCUGCUGAAACACUUUGGGUUACUGUGGGGAGCAAUCCGGACUGGACUAAGUUACUGGAAUUAAGACUUAUUCUAUGCAUCUGCUCUCCCACAAUAUGGCGCUGGGAGAGAAGUAAACAGCUUCUGCACAGCUGCCUCCAGUUCAGCUAAUAAACUGUAGGACUUGCUCCUGAUUGGAGGAGAGCAGCGUACUCGGCGUGUGGGCAGCCGAGUUAGGAUUGGCGGAGGAGGACUAUAAAGGAGGAGAGAGACGGCAUGCACCAAGAAACAUCUAAGGGGAACAUCUAGCUGAAGGAACACCUGUGCAGCCCCCAAGAAAGCCGGCCGGCGGUGUGCCGCUCCCCUGCGGAAGUGGGGAAUGUGGCCAGGGGGAACUGCCCUUCCACGGAGGUGGAAGGGAUAGUAGCCAACCCGGGAAGAACCAGCAGCAAACCCGGGGAGGGCCGAGCAGACAGAAACAACAGCGCAGGGUCCUGUGUCGUUCCUCCACGAAGAGGGGGAGCGACAGGUUACCCUGCUUCAUAUCGCUGAGCCUAUUUCUGUGUUGGAAAAGUGGGUGCCGUGGUGGCAUGAUGGGGGGUGCUCAGGAAGAGAAGGCUCCGCGUCGCCGUGCCCCUCGGCCUCCAGGCUUUGUUUCUGAGAAGGCCUCGGAAUGGGGCUAAGCAGGGUCCCUGGGAGGCUGUGCUAGGGCCGCCUCCACAUCCAUGUGUUCUUUCCUGGAGGGCCUGUGCCCAAAGCCAGCAAGGACUCAGGGCCUCCUUUUGGGAUCUGUUUGCCUUUUCAUAAACACAGACACAGGAUUUUUCUUGGCUGGGCCCGUCCACUCACAGCUCACAGAUUGUACCUGGAAGCAUUCACUCCCAGGUGAUUUGAAUCAGGAUCUACCAGGAAGUUUGUUUUUCAAGGCCUUAGUCAACAUGUGGGUGUGGAAACACCAACCAAUUUCAAUGUAGAGUCAACUCCUUCUUAAAUAGGGACUUUCACGUUACUCAGACUUUGCAAAACAACAUCGUGUUUAAACAAAAUUCCAUUUCCCUGUUCAUAACCAGCGGCAGUUGCUAAAGAUGGUUCUGUUCUGACCAGGGGCUUCCCCAGCCCAAAUUGCAGCUGGUUCCUAGGUCAGCGCUGCACUGUGACGUCACGGGGCUGGGCUGUGAGAUCACUCCUGCAUGGCUGUCAGUUCCCCCUUCUGGCUCCUCAUGUGGACUUGAAGGAAGGAUUGUGGCCUGGCACGUGGGUCCUCCAGAAAUCUAUUCCAGGGGGCUUAAUGUGUUUGAUCUCCUGGUUUGCUGAUUGCCUGGAACAGCGACAACACAGGCCACCCCUCCCUUGAGCCAAGGAGCUUCUGUGUUUCAGCAUGCAGACCUCAUGGUCCAGACGGCGUGUGAGAAGCCGAGGCCCAGUGUACAGAGAGUGGUAUGGCCAGGAAUGAGAGGUGGGGUCCCGAGACGCCCUCCUCUGCCCCUCCCCGCAGAACCUCUUCUGUGAUAGACCCAUGGUGCUCAGCGGCUGUUUGGCCAGCUCCUGGAACCAGAUUCCUCACAGGUGGCACCAGUAUGAAGAAUUUCUCCAAAGCUGGUUUGCCAGAAAGCGGCAGCUCCUACCUUCAACCAGAAGAGGUGCUGUAAAAUCACAUGGAAGCCGAGUUCCGUGCAGUCACUAAGGAACAAUUUGGGCCUUUCAGAAAUUAAUGUUAUUUAAAGGUGCAGAUUCAUCCACCCCAGUGGCCUCUGGGGAGGGCCUCCCUGGCCAUCUGGUUCAAUCGGCUCAUUUUCUUGCCCCUAAUCCUCCUGGCGCUCGUGUGUGUGUGUGUGUGUGUGUGUGUGUGCACGCGCUUACAGCGAGGGCUUCCCGGGGAACUUGCAGAGUGAGUGAAAGGCGAAACCUUUCUCUUGCACCAGCCACCUCUCCUCUUUCCCUAAUAGCAUAAAAUUCCUAAUCCUGUUUAUCCUUGGUGGGAGCAGAAAACGCACCUUGCAACAAUGAGGAGACCCGCGGAGCCCCCCUGCCCCUGCCCCUGCCCCACCUGGGCUCAUGUCCUCUAAGCCUGGGUCCGGCAGAGACGGGUGGGGUCCCCUUCCCCCAUCCUCAGAGAGGAACAGAAGAGGUGAGAAGUGUUGGGGAUGCAUUUGCCCAGGCCUGCUGGAGGAAGAGUCGUGCUAGUUGAAAGCUACCCAUGAGCCACGGGGAGGGUUUCAAAGACUCAGGUAGUGUUUUCAAAAGGAAGGUUUCAGUGCGGUCCCAAAUGCGUAAGUCCCUGUGCAAGUCCAAUUAUAAUCCACAAAGGCAGGAUACCGUGUUUACAUAAAUAAUUACCAGAUUUCGGGUAGCCAGACGUGUUGUGGCACAGAGGAGGCAAGCCCAUCAAUUACAUUUGGGGAAUUAAGGGUCAGAUUGAUCUUAUCUCUGCAAAUCCAGCCACAUUCCGGCAAGCUAAAGGCACAUCCGGUUGACUGAGCCUUGAGAAGCCAGGGCCCCAGAAACCAGUGAUGGCGAGGCUGUCAGUAGCCCCCAUGCCUUCCUUCCUGCUUCCCCCUUGCUGCAGUCUGCAGGCUGGCUCUGAAAGCAAGGGUGGGGGGAGAAGAACUGCCUCAACUUGCCCUCUGCCCAAGCUGCAAGGGAGGAGAGAGGUGCAGGCAGCUCACUUCCUAUCCUCUUUUUCCUCCUGGACCACACAGGAUCUCUCUCCCUCUCUCCCUCCUUCUCUCCCUCUCUCCCUCUCCCUCUCUCCCUCUCUCCCUCCUUCUCUCCCUCUCUCCCUCCUUCUCUCACUCUCUCCCUCCCCCUCUCUCCCUCUCUCCCUCCCUCUCUCUCCUUCUUCUCUCCCUCUCUCCCUCUCCCUCUCUCCC